rnacentral:rRNA from 1 species
ACUCAAAUGAAUAGACGGGGACCCGCACAAGCGGUGGAGCAUGUGGUUUAAUUCGAUGCAACGCGAAGAACCUUACCUGGCCUUGACAUCCGCGGAACCCUGCAGAGAUGUGGGGGUGCCUUCGGGAGCCGCGAGACAGGUGCUGCAUGGCUGUCGUCAGCUCGUGUCGUGAGAUGUUGGGUUAAGUCCCGCAACGAGCGCAACCCUUGUCCUUAGUUGCCAGCAUUUAGUUGGGAACUCUAAGGAGACCGCCGGUGACAAACCGGAGGAAGGUGGGGAUGACGUCAAGUCAUCAUGGCCUUUAUGGCCAGGGCUACACACGUGCUACAAUGGUAGAUACAGAGGGAAGCCAACCGGCGACGGGGAGCCAAUCCCAGAAAAUCUAUCGUAGUCCGGAUCGGAGUCUGCAACUCGACUCCGUGAAGUCGGAAUCGCUAGUAAUCGCAGAUCAGCAUUGCUGCGGUGAAUACGUUCCCGGGUCUUGCACACACCGCCCGU